rfam:Paludibacter jiangxiensis DNA, scaffold: PJIAN_3, strain: NM7.
GGUCCUAUAGUUUAAUGGAUAGAAUGACAGAUUCCGGUUCUGUUGGUCUGGGUUCGAUUCCCGGUAGGAUCA